rnacentral:rRNA from 1 species
GACGAACGCUGGCGGCGUGCUUAACACAUGCAAGUCGAACGGAAAGGCCCCCUUGUGGGGUACUCGAGUGGCGAACGGGUGAGUAACACGUGAGUAACCUACCCUUGACUUUGGGAUAACUUCAGGAAACUGGGGCUAAUACCGGAUAGGAGCUCCUGCUGCAUGGUGGGGGUUGGAAAGUUUCGGCGGUUGGGGAUGGACUCGCGGCUUAUCAGCUUGUUGGUGGGGUAGUGGCUCACCAAGGCUUUGACGGGUAGCCGGCCUGAGAGGGUGACCGGCCACAUUGGGACUGAGAUACGGCCCAGACGCCUACGGGAGGCAGCAGUGGGGAAUAUUGCACAAUGGGCGGAGGCCUGAUGCAGCAACGCCGCGUGCGGGAUGACGGCCUUCGGGUUGUAAACCGCUUUCGCCUGUGACGAAGCGUGAGGGACGGUAAUGGGUAAAGAAGCACCGGCUAACUACGU